rnacentral:sRNA from 1 species
CUGGCAGUCCGCUUCGGCGGGCCUGUGCCCCGCGCCGUUCUCGGGGCCUCCCUGCUGAGCUCGCGGCUCACGCUGAGAGGGACACGCAGUGACGAGCGGCCGAAGCAGCUUUGCGGUUUUGUGGUGCAUCCCUGAGCAUGAGCACAGAAUGAAGCGGCGUUUGGAUGACCAGGAGUCACCGGUGUAUGCAGCUCAGCAGCGUCGGAUCCCUGGCAGCACAGAGGCUUUUCCUCACCAGCACCGGGUGCUUGCCCCUGCCCCUCCUGUGUAUGAAGCAGUGUCUGAGACCAUGCAGUCAGCUACGGGAAUUCAGUACUCUGUAACACCCAGCUACCAGGUAAGCUGGAGCCAACCAAGGGACUAGAAUGAGGGAAGAGAAAUAGUGGUUUUAGGCAAUUAUAAAACUUUUUUUAAUACUGUGUUAGAUAUUAAAAAUUGUUGAGUAUGUGUAAGGU